rnacentral:lncRNA from 1 species
UUUAACUUAAAAUAAACUAUUCAUGGCUUCUUUGAGAAACACUUAUGAAUGACAAAGAAACAAUGUAUGGCGUCGGCAGUGCUUGUAUUUUUAACGUUUUGUUUUAAUUCUUGUCUCUUCCAUAUUUCUUGCUAAAUUAAUUAAUAUACACAAUUUGUUUUUUAGUUAUUAGUUAUUAAUCUGGAUUAUGUUGAAGUAUUUUUGCUAAUUAUCAAUUAUCUGAACUGUCUUUGAAGUUUCAUGAAUUUUUAGAUUUUUUUUUUAAAAUAUUUUGAAUCUUGGUUCCAGUCAAAUUAUUCCAGAAUGGUAAACUUUUAGUUAUCAUUGAUGAAGUCCCACACCAACACGCAGGUGAAAUCAUACAGUUUCUCCUACAUGCAUUUUAAUGUCUUCAGAUGGAGGAGGUUGGGGCAUCUUAGAAAGACCUUGGACCUUGGUAAAGGUCACCACCUG